GUAACUUCCACAGCAAAGAUAAAUAGCACUUUCCGUGGAAUAGAAUAUGUUCCAGGUCACUUAAAGAGGCUACACUUCCCAAAGGGGUUCUGAAACCUGAUACCUUAUUUCAAAGAGAAUCCUCUUCCUCUUUAUGUGACAAACCUCAUAUAGAAACCUUGUGAUGAACCCCAGUGCACACAUCCACCCUCUCAUGCCUGCCGCAAGGCUUCUGCUUCAGACUUGGUCAGGCUCCUGGGCCUGAGUCAUGUCACUUCAUCCUGCUAUGGUGCUGGUCCUCUGAUACAUAUCUGAUUUCAUCAUCAAUGCUGAGGCAGGACCUGUGAUCUCCCAAGGGAAUUUUGUUAGUGUUGUGUGUUUAAACACUGGUGGAUAUGACACAGUCUGCCUAAAGAAGGAAGGCCACACAGAAAAGGUCACUUCUAUGAGAGAGGAUAGAUUCUACCUUGGCCCAGUGCUCCUCAAGUCCCUGUUCGACUGUCCCUUGGGAAGAUGCAAACUGGCACCUGAACAGGGACCCCAUGGGGUCACAGAGAACACCACUCAUCAUUGGAGGGUAGGCCUACCUCCUCAUGUAGGAAGCACCUGAUAGCAGCUUCACUUCCGCAGGAUGCCAAGGUCCAACCGGAAGCGAGACAGUCUGGGAGACAGAACAUAGCAUGGCAAAGAUAUUAGGAUAAUAAAG
rnacentral:lncRNA from 1 species